rnacentral:rRNA from 1 species
CAGUCGCCGCGGGAAUACGUAGGUGGCAAGCGUUGUCCGGAAUUGUUGGGCGUAAAGGGCUCGCAGGCGGUUUCUUAAGUCUGAUGUGAAAGCCCCCGGCUCAACCGGGGAGGGUCAUUGGAAACUGGGAAACUUGAGUGCAGAAGAGGAGAGUGGAAUUCCACGUGUAGCGGUGAAAUGCGUAGAGAUGUGGAGGAACACCAGUGGCGAAGGCGACUCUCUGGUCUGUAACUGACGCUGAGGAGCGGAAGCGUGGGGAGCGAACAGGAUUAGAUACCCCUGUAGUCCCUGUCUCUUAUAC